rnacentral:rRNA from 1 species
AUUGAACGCUGGCGGCAGGCCUAACACAUGCAAGUCGAGCGGAGCGGCGGACGGGUGAGUAUUGCCUAGGAAUCUGCCUGUUAGUGGGGGAUAAGGUUCGGUACCGGGAGCUAACACUGCAUCCUCUCAGACGAGCCUAGGUCGGAUUAGCUAGUUGGUGGGGUAAAGGCCUACCAGGGCGACGAUCCGUAACUGGUCUGAGAGGAUGAUCAGUCACACUGGAAAUGAGACACGGUCCAGACUCCUACGGGAGGCAGCAGUGGGGAAUAUUGGACAAUGGGCGAAAGCCUGAUGCAGCCAUGCCGCGUGUGUGAAGAAGGUCUUCGGAUUGUAAAGCACUUUAAGUUGGGAGGCGUUACCAGCAGAAUAAGCACCGGCUAACUUCGUGCCAGCAGCCGCGGUAAUUC